UCUAACCUACGGGCGGCAGCAGUAGGGAAUCUUGGACAAUGGGCGAAAGCCUGAUCCAGCCAUGCCGCGUGAGUGAAGAAGGCCCUAGGGUUGUAAAGCUCUUUUGGCGGGGACGAUAAUGACGGUACCCGCAGAAUAAGCCCCGGCUAACUUCGUGCCAGCAGCCGCGGUAAUACGAAGGGGGCUAGCGUUGUUCGGAAUUACUGGGCGUAAAGCGCACGCAGGCGGAUUGGUAAGUUAGAGGUGAAAUCCCGGGGCUCAACCUCGGAAUUGCCUUUGAUACUGCCAGUCUUGAGUCCGGGAGAGGUGAGUGGAAUUCCUCGUGUAGAGAUGAAAUUCGUAGAUAUUCGGAGGAACACCAGUGGCGAAGGCGGCUCACUGGCUCGAUACUGACGCUGAGGUGCGAAAGCGUGGGGAGCAAACAGGAUUAGAUACCCCCGUAGUCCAAUAUUCCCCA
rnacentral:rRNA from 1 species